GUGCAAAACCAUUGUUCUAGCAACUCCGCCUGGUCGUGAUGGCAGUAUUUGCAAGGAAGUGUUAUAUUGUGCAAAGAAAGCUGGCGUCACCCACAUUCUAAAAGCUGGGGGAGCUCAGGCGAUCUCAGCGAUGGCUUGGGGAACAUCAUCUUGCCCAAAGGUUGAAAAAUUUUUUGGGCCAGGAAAUCAAUAUGUUACUGCUGCAAAAAUGAUUCUUCAGAAUAGUGAAGCCAUGGUUUCCAUUGAUAUGCCUGCUGGCCCUUCAGAGGUGCUGGUCAUCGCCGACAGACAUGCCAAUCCAGUUCACAUAGCUGCAGAUCUACUCUCUCAGGUGCAGA